rnacentral:hammerhead_ribozyme from 1 species
AUCCAACUGACGAGUCAUAAAUAGAACGAAACACGCGUCUUAAAU